rnacentral:rRNA from 1 species
AACGUAGGGGACAAGCGUUAUCCGGAUUUACUGGGCGUAAAGCGCCCGUAGGCGGCCUGACAAGUUGGACGUGAAAGCUCCUGGCUUAACUGGGAGAGGCCGUUCAAAACUGUCAAGCUAGAGUCCGGAAGAGGCGAGUGGAAUUCCUGGUGUAGCGGUGGAAUGCGCAGAUAUCAGGAGGAACACCAACGGCGAAGGCAGCUCGCUGGGACGGUACUGACGCUGAGGCGCGAAAGCGUGGGGAGCGAACAGG